ACGGAAGGCAGCAGUGGGGAAUAUUGGGCAAUGGGGGAAACCCUGACCCAGCAACGCCGCGUGAAGGAAGAAGGCCUUCGGGUUGUAAACUUCUUUUACCAGGGAAGAAGAAAGUGACGGUACCUGGAGAAAAAGCCACGGCUAACUACGUGCCAGCAGCCGCGGUAAUACGUAGGGAGCAAGCGUUAUCCGGAAUUACUGGGUGUAAAGGGAGUGUAGGCGGGACUGUAAGUCAGAUGUGAAAUAUGCCGGCUCAACUGGCAGACUGCAUUUGAAACUGCGGUUCUUGAGUGAAGUAGAGGUAAGCGGAAUUCCUAGUGUAGCGGUGAAAUGCGUAGAUAUUAGGAGGAACACCAGUGGCGAAGGCGGCUUACUGGACGAUUACUGACGCUGAGGCUCGAAAGCGUGGGGAGCAAACAGGAUUAGAUACCCUGGUA
rnacentral:rRNA from 1 species